AUUGAACGCUUUCUUCCUUCCUUACACAUGCAAGUCGAACGGCAGCACGGGUGCUUGCACCUGGUGGCGAGUGGCGAACGGGUGAGUAAUACAUCGGAACAUGUCCUGUAGUGGGGGAUAGCCCGGCGAAAGCCGGAUUAAUACCGCAUACGAUCUACGGAUGAAAGCGGGGGACCUUCGGGCCUCGCGCUAUAGGGUUGGCCGAUGGCUGAUUAGCUAGUUGGUGGGGUAAAGGCCUACCAAGGCGACGAUCAGUAGCUGGUCUGAGAGGACGACCAGCCACACUGGGACUGAGACACGGCCCAGACUCCUACGGGAGGCAGCAGUGGGGAAUUUUGGACAAUGGGCGAAAGCCUGAUCCAGCAAUGCCGCGUGUGUGAAGAAGGCCUUCGGGUUGUAAAGCACUUUUGUCCGGAAAGAAAUCCUUGGCCCUAAUACGGUCGGGGGAUGACGGUACCGGAAGAAUAAGCACCGGCUAACUACGUG
rnacentral:rRNA from 1 species